rnacentral:rRNA from 1 species
UCGGGAAUUUUGGGCAAUGGGCGAAAGCCUGACCCAGCAACGCCGCGUGAAGGAUGAAGUCUUUCGGGAUGUAAACUUCGUAAAAAUAGGAAGAAUAAAUGACGGUACUAUUUGUAAGGUCCGGCUAACUACGUGCCAGCAGCCGCGGUAAUACGUAGGGACCAAGCGUUGUUCGGAUUUACUGGGCGUAAAGGGCGCGUAGGCGGCAUGACAAGUCACUUGUGAAAUCUCUGGGCUUAACCCAGAACGGCCAAGUGAUACUGUCGUGCUAGAGUGCAGAAGGGGCAAUCGGAAUUCUUGGUGUAGCGGUGAAAUGCGUAGAUAUCAAGAGGAACACCUGAGGUGAAGACGGGUUGCUGGGCUGACACUGACGCUGAGGCGCGAAAGCCAGGGGAGCAAACGGGAUUAGAUACCCCCGUAGUCCCUGAGCGGGCUGGCAAGGCGCAU